GGGGAUAUUGCACAAUGGGGGGAACCCUGAUGCAGCGACGCCGCGUGGGUGAAGAAGCGCCUCGGCGCGUAAAGCCCUGUCAGCAGGGAAGAAAAUGACGGUACCUGAAGAAGAAGCCCCGGCUAACUACGUGCCAGCAGCCGCGGUAAUACGUAGGGGGCAAGCGUUAUCCGGAUUUACUGGGGGUAAAGGGGGCGCAGACGGCGAUGCAAGCCAGGAGCGAAAGCCCGGGGCCCAGCCCCGGGACUGCUCUUGGAACUGCGUGGCUGGAGUGCAGGAGGGGCAGGCGGAAUUCCUGGUGUAGCGGUGAAAUGCGUAGAUAUCAGGAGGAACACCGGUGGCGAAGGCGGCCUGCUGGACUGCAACUGACGUUGAGGCCCGAAAGCGUGGGGAGCAAACA
rnacentral:rRNA from 1 species